rnacentral:rRNA from 1 species
UACGAAGGGGGCUAGCGUUGCUCGGAAUUACUGGGCGUAAAGCGCACGUAGGCGGAUUGUUAAGUCGGGGGUGAAAUCCUGGAGCUCAACUCCAGAACUGCCUUCGAUACUGGCGAUCUCGAGUUCGGGAGAGGUGAGUGGAACUGCGAGUGUAGAGGUGAAAAUUCGUAGAUAUUCGCAAGAACACCAGUGGCGAAGGCGGACU